rnacentral:rRNA from 1 species
GAUGAACGCUGACAGAAUGCUUAACACAUGCAAGUCUUUGGCGAAGCUGUGCUUGCACAGCCUAGCCAAGGCGGACGGGUGAGUAACGCGUAAGGAACUUGCCCUGCAGUCAGGGAUAACAGACGGAAACGACUGAUAAGACCUGGUAAAGUCAGGCGGACUCAUGUCCAGCCUGAUGAAAGAGAUGCUGCAGGAGAGCCUUGCGUCCUAUUAGCUUGUUGGUGGGGUAACGGCCCACCAAGGCAAUGAUAGGUAGCCGGCCUGAGAGGGUGGACGGCCACAAGGGGACUGAGAUACGGCCCUUACUCCUACGGGAGGCAGCAGUGGGGAAUAUUGGACAAUGGGGGCAACCCUGAUCCAGCAAUUCUGUGUGCACGAUGAAGGUUUUCGGAUUGUAAAGUGCUUUCAGCAGGGAAGAAAAAAAUGACGGUACCUGCAGAAGAAGCGACGGCUAAAUACGUGCCAGCAGCCGCGGUAAUACGUAUGUCGCAAGCGUUAUCCGGAAUUAUUGGGCAUAAAGGGCAUCUAGGCGGCCAGAUAAGUCUGGGGUGAAAACUUGCGGCUCAACCGCAAGCCUGCCCUGGAAACUAUGUGGCUAGAGUACUGGAGAGGUGGACGGAACUGCACGAGUAGAGGUGAAAUUCGUAGAUAUGUGCAGGAAUGCCGAUGAUGAAGAUAGUUCACUGGACGGUAACUGACGCUGAAGUGCGAAAGCUAGGGGAGCAAACAGG